AAGAUGUCUUGGAGGAAAGCAGGGGAUCGCAAGACCUUGCGCUUUUGGAGUGGCCGAUGCCUGAUUAGCUAGUUGGUGGGGUAAUGGCCUACCAAGGCGACGAUCAGUAGUUGGUCUGAGAGGACGACCAGCCACACUGGGACUGAGACACGGCCCAGACUCCUACGGGAGGCAGCAGUGGGGAAUUUUGGACAAUGGGCGAAAGCCUGAUCCAGCAAUGCCGCGUGAGUGAAGAAGGCCUUCGGGUUGUAAAGCUCUUUCAGUCGAGAAGAAAAGGUUGUGAUUAAUAAUCACAACUCAUGACGGUAUCGACAGAAGAAGCACCGGCUAACUACGUCCCAGCAGCCGCGGUAAUACGUAGGGUGCGAGCGUUAAUUGGAAUUACUGGGCGUAAAGGGUGCGCAGGCGGCUUUGUAAGUCAGA
rnacentral:rRNA from 1 species